ensembl:snRNA U1 U1 spliceosomal RNA
AUACUUACCUGGGAGGGGAGAUAAGAUGAUCACGAAAGUGGUUUUCCCUGGGUGUAGUUUAUCCUUUGCACUCUGGAUGUCCUGGCCCCUGUGACUCCCCAAAUGUGAGAAAUUCUUACUGCAUAAUUUGUGGUAGUGGGAGACUGUGUUCAUGCUCUCCCC